GGCCUCUUGGUCUAGAGGUAUGAUUCUCGCUUUGGGUUUAAGGCCCCCCUCCACACCGGAUUUGUUGGGAAAAAUAACAAAUCCGGCAGAAAAGGGCACGAAUUCACAAUUGCGAGAGGUCCCGGGUUCGAAUCCCGGAGAGGCCC